rnacentral:rRNA from 1 species
CUAAGAAUCUUGCGCAAUGGGCGAAAGCCUGACGCAGCAAUUCCGCGUGGAGGACGAAGGCCUUCGGGUUGUAAACUCCUUUUGUGAGGGAAGAAGUUCUGACGGUACCUCACGAAUAAGACACGGCUAACUACGUGCCAGCAGCCGCGGUAAUACGUAGGUGUCGAGCGUUGUCCGGAUUUAUUGGGCGUAAAGCGCCCGCAGGCGGCCAGGCAAGUCCAGGGUGAAAUCUCCCGGCUCAACCGGGAGGGUGCCCUGGAAACUGCCAGGCUUGAGGCAGGGAGAGGGAUGUGGAAUUCCCGGUGUAGUGGUGAAAUGCGUAGAUAUCGGGAGGAACACCAGUGGCGAAGGCGGCAUCCUGGCCCUGUCCUGACGCUCAGGGGCGAAAGCGUGGGGAGCAAACCG